AGCUCUGUAAAAUCCUAGGGAAGUAGUAGCCAGCAGAGGGUAUUCAUUCAAGACCAAGCAGCAGAGAAGCACUCUGGUAUUCCCUGAAGACACAGCAGAAACAAGUGGAAAUGUCAGGUAGAUGGGAAAGGCCUAAUCCAGAACCCUCUGGAGCCAGCGAUGAGCUCUGAACCAGCUUACUGAGCCAGCAUGCUUAGGCACCCUUGAUAUACAUCGUAGUCGUGGAUGGCUGUGUACAGUAGCACACUUAGUAUUACAUCUGUAAAAGAAGUCAGUCACCUAUAAUCGACUGCCUGGUGCAAGAAGAAAUCAAUCAGUUCGCUUUCUAUGCUACAUGCCUCUCCUAAGGAGGAGCUCCAAAUUACUGCAUGGAUAAAUCAGCAAAAGACAUCCCUCACGAAUAAAAACCACAUGGAGCACUCUACAACAGACCACAAAAUGGGUUUGGCACCUGUGUCUCCUCCGAGCCGAAGUUUCCGAGUUGUGUUAUCACGUGGCCUGCUGACCCCGGGAGAGCAACGCUGACCUUGUCUUACACACAGAAGUCUAUUGCUAUGACUCCCCUGAGAGCACAAACCAGCUGCAAACUGCUGCAAUGAUUAA